GCUUCCUUUGUGGCUCAGUCGUUGGGCACUUGCUUUGGUUGCAAAAGGUCCUAGGAUCAAUCCCCAGGGGGAGCA